rnacentral:rRNA from 1 species
UACAGAGGGUGCAAGCGUUGUUCGGAAUUAUUGGGCGUAAAGAGCGUGUAGGCGGCCAAACAGGUCCACUGAUGAAAACUCGAGGCUCAACCUCGAGAGGUCGGUGGAAACCACAUGGCUAGAGUCCGGAAGAGGAGAGUGGAAUUCCGUGGUGUAGCGGUGAAAUGCGCAGAUAUCAGGAAGAACACCAAUGGCGAAGGCAGCUCUCUGGGACGGUACUGACAACUGAGACGCGAAAGCGUGGGGAGACCGAACAGG